rnacentral:rRNA from 1 species
GUCCACGCCGUAAACGAUGCACACUAGCUCUCGGUCGCAUCGACCCGACCUGGAGUGAAGCUAACGCGUUAAGUGUGCCACCUGGGUAGUACGAACGCAAGUUUAAAACUCAAAGGAAUAGACGGGGACUCGCACAAGCGGUGGAACAUGAGGUUUAAUUCGAUAGUAAGCGAUUAACCUUACCAGGACUUGACAUCUUUGGAAUCUCAAUGAAAGUUGGGAGUGCCCGCAAGGGAGCCAGAAGACAGGUGAUGCACGGUUGUCGU